CACAGCCCAGUGUGCUUUUAUCUCCUUGUUGGCCUGAGACAUCCAGCUCUUUUAAGCCAGAAUCCUUACAGUUUUCUCCUCUAGACUUAUCGCAGUCUGAUUUGCUCUUCUAGCUAAUCUAGUUAAACGCCAGCUCUCUCGUUUCCAGCAGGCAGCUUCGCCAAUUGCCUCCUUUCGGGACACUUACUGAGACCCUUAAGAACUCAUUAAUCUGGGAGGCCUGAAGAACAUGAAAAGUAGAUGAUCAAUUUGAGGAUACUUGAUACCACUGCAAAUACCUUGAUGCAGGAUACUUCCAUGGUUGAGUAAGAAUCGCAAGACUCUCCAAUGUCUGGAAGUAGUGAUGGUUACCAAACUCAAGGCUGGUUCUAUGUUGAUAUGUGCCAAAAAAAAAAUCCUGCAGAAGAAACUAAUUUCUAUCAUACCUGCACAUGUAUACUGUAGGAUAGUAACAAUGAAAAUACAAAAAGGAAAA
rnacentral:lncRNA from 1 species